ensembl:lncRNA
GAGGGUCCGCGGAGCCCGUGUUACAGCCAGUGAGGGACCAGGAACAACAUGCCGGUGCAUGCAGGAUACAGGGUAGAGCGCUGAGGCGUCGGCUGCGGGGGCCCCGGACAUUUGAAAAAGGCAUAAGACCAAGAAUCAACAGGAAACAGAAUUAUGAAUUUUUGAAAUUGUUUUCUAUUUCCCACAACAAACAAAUAUGUGUAAAUGUUUACUGUCUGCAGCGCAGCGGACGUAUAGCCCAAGGCCCAAGGUCAAAGGCUAAGCAAAGCUGGGACUGUCCUCCCGUGAAAUACACAGUUAUAGAUUAUAGAUGACGACAAGUCAUGCCAAAGUUUGCCUGGAAGACUUUGGGAAAACAAAACCAACGAUUAUCCCACAGGCGCCCCGGGUUUCAGUCCUGGAUACGAGUUUUGGACGUGACAAUAUGUAAGACUUGAGCCUCUAACCCUAAGACACUGGACAAAGCUCUGUACAUGAUGCAUUAUAGGACGGACAACACAGUUACUCUGGUAUAUUAGACACUAGAUCAAAUUAGGCAGGAAGCUUUUGUAAACAAACCAAGGAUGAUGUGCAUCUAUUCUAUGCUAAUUAGAUGAAAGCUCCUGCAUAUUCCAUUAAGUCCGACUGGAAUCAUAAUUAUGGUUUCUUCACAUCAAAUUUAAUACUUGUCAUAGAAGAAACAGUGCAGGUGUCGCUAAUGACAUCAGCAACGACUUUGUUCUAUUCAAGUGUGCCAGUAAGCGAUGACAGCGUGACAGUGAGUCAGCACGAACGCGUCCAGGACCCUGAACGCAACGCGGCUAAAUAGAACCCAGCCAUUGUUUUUCUUUUUUUUUCCUACUGUGACAUGUCAAAUGUCUCGCGCGAGUCCUGCUCGUCGCUCCUCUUUGUGGUCCAAAAUAACAUCAAAGCGAUGUUUCUCCAACUCGCCGGAAAACUAUUUCCGACGAAGGAAGGAGAGAGCAGGUACCGUCUCUGUCGGCGCACCUGGACGCGCUACCUCUGCGUUUGAUUGGCACGGGCUGGCAGACGGAGCCCUGGCGCGGGAACAGACAGACAAAGGUCACGCACCCAGUGUGUUUUACAACACAACUCCUGCUUCUUUUUGUUGUGACUGGUGAUGGACCUGGGACGUGAACCACACUUACCCAAGCAGAGUGGCCUUAAUUGGUCAUGCAGUUCACAUCGUGCACAUCACAUCAUGAUUAAUCACUGGCCAAUUAGCCACUGGCACCGAUGCCAACGGUGGAUCAAACAGUGAGCGCGCGCGAGUCAAGCGAGAGUCGCUACUGCUCUGCUCCUAACUGUUUUAAUGACUUUUCCACUUUUAUUUUUGUAUCUCCAGUGCUCAGCGUCUACUGCAAAGGACUCCCUGCGAGCGAAAAUGAUCAAUUAUGCAUCCCAUUAAAUAUGUAUAUCUGUGCCUUUGUUUAUUCGAUUGGAGUACAAUGAUAUUUCUUUUUCUCUUCCAGUGAUUUACAAAGGGAAUUAAAGCAGCCUCGUCGCUACGUGUAGCUAUUCCUCAUGCUGGUGAGCUUUGACAAUGAUAAUUACAAAACAAGCACAACCUGAGUGACAUCAUCGCGAGUCUGUUGGCUUCAGCCUGUCAUCCGGUCCUGUCUCCCCUCACCAGGCCCGGGGGGGGGGGGCGCUUCCUUUGGCUCUUUGGAGUAUCUUGCAGAUCGUCUUGCAGCGAAGCCUUGUGGCUUCCUCACAGCUAAGGCCACGUCCCGCAUUACAUCCUGAACUCACACAAAGGUGAGGCUAUUGGUAGAAAUCUAGAGACAGACGGAGAGAACAGAGACGAGUCUAAACGCCAGCUUGGGAAGGCCUGCUAGUCUAUUUGUGACUCAAAGACAGGUGUUGGGGGCUGGAGGUUGGAGGAUUAGAGUGUAUAAUAGAUUUCCGAGCGCCAGAGCUCUGAUGCAGCCCAAACACUGCCCGAGGCCUGUAAGCUCUCCUCACCCAAGUCUGCCGGAGAAAUAACGCUAAGUUCUCUUUUACUUGCGAGGAGGAGGCACUAAUCGCCUC